rnacentral:lncRNA from 1 species
GGUGACAGAAGCAAAGAAAAGAUAGAAGGGGAGGUUUGUGACAGCCAACCAUCCUGAGGAAGAUGGCACAUGAUGAUGAUGACGGGGAUAAAAAAAGAAGUGUUGUUGACAAGCAACAAAGAUUGCAGAGUACAAAGCAAUGCAUCCAGUCACAAAAGUCUCUUUCUAAGGUCAAGGACUUACUUCAGGAGUAUACAGGUCUCUAUGGGCUCUUCACCUCAGUUAAAGCUAGUGAAGAAUUUGUGAUUCACAGUCGGACAUUACAAUUGGAAACCAAAUCAAUGAGUGAAGAAAAACUUUAGGAUCAUCUAGAUGUUAAUAUACCAGAAGAAAAGUUUUCUUCAGUGUCAACAGUGCCUGACAUAAGUUGUUACAAAAGUGCUGAAGAUUUUUGGCCCAAAGAUAGUAAAGAAUUUUGUGAAAAGGACAGAAAAUAUGAAUCCAAUGAAACCAGAAAUAUGAAAACAACAUUUGGAUCUAGUGAAGAACAGAAUAGAACAUCAAGGAAGGCUUCUUAUGACACAAGU